UUUUUUUUCCCCUUUUCCAAACCCUAUGCAGGGAUUUUUGCAAUAUUUGUGAUCGAGGGCUACCGCCUAGGGCACGAACUCCUCACCGUUGUCAAAGGAAGUUAUUUCUCCAGCUGUCAGAUUAGGCUCUCAUUGUGAUUCUCUUUUUCAUAGAUUGGAAGGGUAGAUCAGUGUCGUCGUUUGACGAAAGGGGGUUUUUAAAACCCUCGCAUUGAAGGAAGUGUGGAAGUCAUGAUGGGAGCAGUCGUAGAAGAUGGUGGCCAGAGGUCUGGAUCUAGGGUUUGAACAAGCCACAUUAGAGGAUGACGGAUUCAAAAGAGGUUUUCCCCUUAGAUUUGGCCUGGAUUUGAGGGUUUUCGUUGUGAUUGCCAUUUGAGGAUGGAAUUUGAGGGUUUUCCCCUUAGAUUUGGCCCGGAUUUGGACAAAUUCGAUUCAAAAGAGCUGGUUUUUAGGGUUUCGGAUGCGACUUGAAGCGGAUCUAGUUGAAGUCGAAGCAUUCGGCGGAGGGUUUCCUGUGGAAAUUGCAUUUUGUGAGAAAUCCAUUUUUUGGCCUUUUUUUAGGCGCUUGAAGUUAGAUUUGAUUGGCAUUGAAGUGGUUUGCAGAAAAAAGGCAGUAGAUCUAUAGGAGAUUUGAGCAUUUUUAUCUAUCUGAUCUGCCAAUGGAGGCAGAACAAGAGAAAGAGCCGUACAUUUAACUUUUUGAGAUCGUUUUAGGGCAUUAAUCCAAAAAGAGGCAGAUCAAAAGCUCAAGUUGACCACACCACAGCAAAUAGUGGGGAUUGAAUUCCUACAAUUGAAAACAGGAAAGGGUUAUCAAUCUUGUUCGAUUUUGGAUUGGAAGAUCUACGGUCGGAGUUGAAAAAGAGUUUCGGGGGAAAGUCUACCGGAAGCUCCAUUUCCAUCAGAAAAUCUCGCUUAGCCCAGAUGUUUUUGCCAUUAUGCUGUUCAACCUACCGGAUCUCAUAAUCUUCGUCUUUUUUCUGCUCGCAUUUGUUGAAUUGACAGAGAAAGCGCUCGAGAACCGGAAUGAAUGGUUGAGUUGUAGGGAUCGAGAUCAGAGGAUAUAGGUGUAAAGCUUAGAGGAAGAGAAAGGGGUUCGAAGAGAUUUUUCAGAAACUCGAACAAAACAGAUCAGAUUACUUUCUUGAAUUUCUCUAUUUUGAAGUUUUGUAGCUAAAAGUCUUUGUUUUUUCUAGCCGAACUAUAGGAGAUUCAGGCAAAAAGAGGUCUUCAGAACUCCAUAUUUCCAGCUGCACUGGCAAUGAAGAGGUGGAGUACAAGCCUCACCCUGGUGGUCCAAGAAAUGGUACUAAAAAAGAGACUAGGGCAUCUGGAGAUGCAGAGGUGAGUUUAUGUUGUUAGUUGUAUUCCCAUCUAUCUAAGCUGUUGGAGUAAUUUCUUGUAACCAUCACAAGUCCCAGUUCUUGAGAAUGUUUACUGGAAGGACCUCAUCCUUCUUGUCUCUGUCUGGAUUGCAUUCCUUGCACUACAGAUUGCCAAGGUGAGAGCUCUACUAUGCCUCAUUUUCAUGUUCAAGUGCGGUAGAUUUUCCUGUAUUGUGUUUGUUAGCACAUGAGCAAACCCAUCAGUAGCUUGACUUGUUUGAUGCAGAAUUACACGGCAACCUGUUUGAUAGCAUACUGGGUUUUGAACUUAUUGCAGGUACGAUCUUACUCUGAUCCUUGGUUUGCACACAUUUUGAACUUAUUGAGAUGUGGUUACAAAAUUUAAGUACAGUAGUUAUUUGAUUUAAAAGAAUUACAUUGUUUACAUUUGGGACAAUAGAUAGGAAUGUUAUCUCUUUACAGUUAGUUUACAAGAAUAUGUUAUAGUCUAUUUUCCAUAAUUUUUUAGUACUUGGGCCCCAUUCAACUCAACCUGCAUAUUUUCUGACCGAGCAACUCAAAGAGUUUUUAAGAUUACUUUGAUCAGAGAUGAAUGCUCCUGAGAAGCCUGGUUUUUAAUGUGUUGGAGUACCAAAUGUCUGUCAAUUGAUAUCUCUCAGAUCCUAGUUGUUGUUGGGGUGUCUCUACAUGAGGUAGUUGGCUUAUACAAAGGUAGAAGAGUAAUCACAUCCAAGGGAGAUGA